UGGGGAAUUUUGGACAAUGGGCGAAAGCCUGAUCCAGCCAUGCCGCGUGAGUGAAGAAGGCCUUCGGGUUGUAAAGCUCUUUUAGUCGGAAAGAAAGAGUUGCAAUGAAUAAUUGUGAUUUAUGACGGUACCGACAGAAUAAGCACCGGCUAACUACGUGCCAGCAGCCGCGGUAAUACGUAGGGUGCGAGCGUUAAUCGGAAUUACUGGGCGUAAAGCGUGCGCAGGCGGUCUUGCAAGUCAGAUGUGAAAGCCCCGGGCUUAACCUGGGAAUUGCGUUUGAAACUACAAGGCUAGAGUGCAGCAGAGGGGAGUGGAACUCCAUGUGUAGCAGUGAAAUGCGUAGAGAUGUGGAAGAACACCGAUGGCGAAGGCAGCUCCCUGGGUUGACACUGACGCUCAUGCACGAAAGCGUGGGGAGCAAACA
rnacentral:rRNA from 1 species